UACGAAGGGGGCUAGCGUUGCUCGGAAUCACUGGGCAUAAAGGGUGCGUAGGCGGGUCUUUAAGUCAGGGGUGAAAUCCUGGAGCUCAACUCCAGAACUGCCUUUGAUACUGAAGAUCUUGAGUGCGGGAGAGGUGAGUGGAACUGCGAGUGUAGAGGUGAAAUUCGUAGAUAUUCGCAAGAACACCAGUGGCGAAGGCGGCCGACUGGUCCGGUUCUGACGCUGAGGCGCGAAAGCGUGGGGAGCAAACAGG
rnacentral:rRNA from 1 species